rnacentral:rRNA from 1 species
GAAACCAACAGGGAUUCCCCUAGUAACGGCGAGUGAAGAGGGAUAAAGCCCAGCGCUGAAUCGUUUUGUCUGCAAAGACUCGACGACAUGUAGCGUGAAGCUGGCGGCUAUUGCUAUUGUCAAUGCGUGUAAGUCUCCUUGAGCGGGGCUCAGUCCCAUUGAGGGUGCUAGGCCCGUAUCGCGCGUGACAAGUAUAGCGAUGCCCGCUAGCGGAGAGUCAGGUUGCUUGGGAACGCAAUCUAAAGCCGGUGGUACACUCCAUCGAAGGCUAAAUACGAUCACAAGUCCGAUAGCGAACAAGUACCGUGAGGGAAAAUUGAAAAGCACUUUGAAGAGAGAGUGAAAUAGUGCGUGAAACCGCUUAGAUGUAAGCAGAUGGGCCCUCGAAGGUGUGCAUAAGAUUAUUAUUAUUAUAGUCUUAGUUCGCACGCCACCGCCGUUGCAGUUUCUUUGUGUAUGCCAAUCGUUGGUAUUUGGACUCUUGAGAUUGGGACUUUUGUGCCUGCUUGAGAAGUUCAGUACUAGCUGUAUUGAGUGAAAUGCGGUACACUGUAACGGAGCAGGGCACUUUGUUGUCGCUGUAAAGCGCCGGCUGUAGCUGCUUGCCGGCAUAUAUAUUUGCGUAAACGAAAUGCAAAUUUCGAUUGCGUAUAUGUGCUGCAAAUCAGCUAUAAGCCCCGGCUAGACGACAUAAAAGACC